rnacentral:lncRNA from 10 species
GGGCACUGAAAGAUCCGGUCACCCAGGGACCUCUCAAUUGCUCAGAUUUGGAGAAGGUGGGGAGAGAAGAUUGCGUCAAACAGACCUGAGAUCCGAUCCCAGCUCAGUCAUUUCCAGCUGUGUGACCUUGGCAAUGGAUGGCGCCUCUCCUUCCAUCCUCUACAGAAGGAGGAAGAGGUAAGCAAGAACAAAUUCAAGAGGGUGCAAAUCUGC